ACCAAUUGUCAAAAAUCUCAGAAACUGUCACGUUAGUUAAUAUGGUAGGUAAAGCUAAAUUAUGGAGCGAGGUAAAACUGUAACAUACAACAAACGUGGCAACGGAACUCUGUAUGGACAUCCAGAUUCAUAAGACGAGGGUCCUGUUGGCGAUCUACAGACUUUGGGUAAAAAAAAGACGCAAGGAAACAGUGACACCCACAGCUGCUGGCUGAGUCUCGUGGCCAGAGAUGAAAAACUUUGCAAAUAUUAACCUCAGUAACACACAACUAACUGAAAAUCUAAUGACAAAGACACAUGCAAUGAUAGAAUUGAAAACUGAAAAACAACCUGGGAAUUAUUGCCGGAAUCGAAGGUCACCUUUCAGGGGAGCGCAUUGAGAGGUGGAGUUGAGAUACGAGGAUCAACACAACCCGGUCAAACAGACGUCCCCAGGCUGAGCCCAGAUUACACCUGCAACCCGCUGUUUCCUGCAAGAGGAGAUUACCCACUGAUCUCUCGGCCAAAGAAACUCUCACAUGUGACACAGGCAUGGGUGGUAUUUUUGGAGGCUUGGAAAUCCAUUGCGUCCCUAAGUUUUG